ACUGAUUCCUCUCCUUACAGCUUUAGUUUGGCUUUCUAAAAAGACCAUGGAAAGUGUGAGCAUUCCAAGGCAGCAACUGUCCAGCGCUGCUACUCCUAAUGCAUUUCGCUACUGCGUAUGUAAUCACCGAAGUGUUUUGCAGCUCAAAGUCAAUGCUAACGACUCCUCUCUUUGCAAUUUAGACGCAACACCAUGUUCCUGAGAGCCUCAAAGAAAACCGCCUUAACGAUGUAUUUUAAUAAUUAAAGAAAACUUUGUGACAGAAGGAGCCUGUUGAGUUGAAGAUUUAAAGAACGGGGUUUUCCCAUCAGAAAAUAAUCUGGGUUUCAAACAGCGAUCACCCCGUAACCAGCCCCGUCCUCGGAAGGGCUCAGGUGAGCGGGGCAGCGGGCCGGACGGGCGGAUGCCUGAGGUGCGCCCAGCCCCGCCGCCUCGCUCGGAGGGGAAGGAUCCCAGAGGAUGCUCCUCGCCCCUUCCUUCUCCGGCCCACCUGGAGGCAGGCGGCGGCGCCGGGAUACCUCGGCAGCUCCGAGCCGAGCCUCCGAACCCCGACGCCCCCCCGCACCCUCCCGCGGCCGCCCCUCCCCGCCGCGCUGCGCACCCGCGGAGCCGCCGCCUCCCGCCCGCACCUGAGGGCGGGCAGCGCCGGGCCCCGGCUCGACGCGGCGCGGUUCGCACUUACUCCGCGGGGCCUCCGUGGCGGCGGCGCGGGCCCGGCGGUGCCCCGGGAGCGGCGGUGAGUAGCGAGGAGCCGCGCUGGGCGGGCGGGGAGGGGUUUGGGGGAGGCGGCGGUGGGGAAACUUCCCCGAGCGGAGCGCAGCGCAGAGCAGCGUAGAGCAGCUCGGCCGCCCGCCUCCUCUCCUCCUCCCGCCGCCGCCGCCGCCGCCUCGCCCGGCGGCAGCACCGCGCCUGCCCGGCCGCCUGCGGCUCGUCCGGCGCACCCAGAGCGCCGCGGGCCAGGCCGAGCUUUUCGUUAUUAUUUGAUUUUUUAUUUUUAAAAGGGACGCGAGGGUUUUUCUGCUUUUUGUUUGUUUGUUUGUUUGAGGAGGGGGGGGGGAUAGGCACGGAAAGAUCUCGGCUUCCUGCCGUGCUAAGGGUUUGGCGGCGAAAAAAAAGGGCUGCUUGGCCGAGCUGGGCAAUCCAGCCGUGCCCUUGGUGCGGGAGGGCACCACAGACAGCAGGGAGAGGAGUUCUGGGUGAGCUGCGCGGUGCUGUGUGCUCCACCUAACAGGGUCUGUUGUGAUAGGAUUAGGGGAAACGGAUCCAAACUGAAAGAGGGAGAUUUAGACUGGACGUAAGGAAGAAAUUUUUUUUGCCAUAUGGGUGGUGAGGCACUGGAAUAGGUUGCACGGAGAGGUGGUGGAUGACCCAUCCCCUGGAGACGCUCAAGGCCAGGCUGAGCAGUGCUCUGAGCAGUCUGAUGUAGCUGUAGGUGUCCCUGUUCGUUGCAGGGGAGUUGGACUAGAAGGCCCUUAAAGGUCCCUACAGGCUCAAACGAUUCCAUGGUUCUACCGUUCUAAACUCUGCAAAAGCAUGAAGCACUGGUCCCUGAGCCUAAAGCUCUUUCAGUUAAUUCAAACACUUCCUUGCCUUCCAUACCUACCCUUUGUCUGUUUUCCUUUUUCAGCUCUUUGCACCCAUUGACCAAAUUCAGAAAGUACAAAGCAUCUCUCUACUUGUAGAGAAAGUAAGAUGCUAUCCCCACAGUGAUCUUCCUUCACCACGGGUGCACCAGCAGUGCCACUGAAAUCAAAAGAGUAUCUCACUGUUUGUCCCGAAGGACCUCCAUCAAUUGGAAUCAAUUAUUUCUUCUUCUUAACAAAGAUAUGGAGUUUUCCCCCGGUUGUUUCUUCUCCAUAACAGUCCUGGGCUGUGCACAAACAUACCAACAAACUCAGCCGAAGUGCAGAUUUUUUCUUUAAAGUAAGUGGACCCGUUAGGCCAUGUUAUUAUUUAUAAGAGCAUAGUCUUUUAAUUCUCAUGAAACUAUUUCCAGCUCAUCACAAUUUUGAGAUAUUAAAGACAGGUUACACUAAUUCCCAUUAAAUUCAGUAAUCAGACUCAUCUUGGCCCAUGACAAUGGGCUAUAGUAGGAAGCAGCAGAUUGUGCUGCCUUAGGUGAGCUUUUUCUUACUGUGGUCAAGCAGAUUAGUUUGCCCUAACACACCUGAGGGGAGGAUGUAAUCUGUGGGUAGUAAAACAGUGGUCCAUAGGCUAGAAGACACUUAAGUGAGGAUGAAGUCACAGGUCCACCUGCUCCCUUCUGGUGGAGUGUGAAAUGGAUAAGAGCACAAACGAGUCGAUAGAAAUCUCAGGAAGCAAGAAGGAGAAUGGGACAUCUGUAACGUAAUUUCUCCUGGGCUCGUGUGGUGCAGCCUAAACUCCACACUGUACAGAGAAGUUUCUUGAGAUUCACAAGCUUUGACUGAGCACAUGGUUGAGUACUCACACUGUGAUCAUGAGAGGUGCAAGCCCACUUAUCAGAAUGAAGGAGUGGGCCUCUUUCCAGCUGCCCUGGGCAGUACGGUGAUGAGCAUUUCACGUUUGCUGAGAACUGACUUAGCAGUGUUUCUGUUGGCCUUCUGUAGGUUUCUGAGUCGUUCAUGUAAGAAGGGUCAAGUGAAACCCAUGUAAUAUUUAGGCACAGAGUAAAAGAAUCGGUAUAAAUACCGUUCACAAUAGGUGAUUGAUAAAUGUGGGCUAUGGGCCAAAAUGUUUAAGACAAGAUGUUUAAAGUAGAGUUCAUACCACCAUCCUAAUUCCUAGAGACCAAUCUGGGGAGCUUCCAGCAUCUGCUGCUUCCACUGGGGUAACAAUGAGUUGUGCUCCUCCGUGCCCAAAGCUGUCAGCUCACCUGCUGCAGUCAUCCCCUUAUCUGUGGUGGAAACCUCCAAAACGUCACGUGGCUUAUACAGCCUACAGCUCUAUCUAAAAACAGUUCAGGGCUUCCUCAUACAGCUAAAGAAUUUCAGGAGGAAUAGUAAGAACACGUAGUUGGACUGACUAACUCCAAGUCCUGAAGCUGCAUUAUCUUUGAUGGCUGACGGGAGCUCCAAGGUGAACGGUUCUCUCUCUGUUGUUCUUUCACUCCUCAAAGCAACCACCUCUCCAGACCCGAGAGCUCCUGGCAGGUAUGAUGGACGGCAAACCCUAAUGAAGGGUGUGGUUUGGCUGGAAGCAUCAGGACUUAGCACGCCGUACAAAUUCUCAUCUGAAAUGGGAGAAUCAGGAGCCAAUUUCUGGAACAUAAUUUAUUCCAGACACUAGCUGGAAUAAACAGCAUUCUGUAACCUCCUCAGAUAUUUUGCCAGUAGGGAGCUGUCUUUACACUUCUUUCAACCGAGUCAGUGAUCCAAACACAAAAUUCAUCACUCAAGAACACAAUGUGGUUUUACAGACUCGAGGAUUUGAGUUCAUUACCACGGACAUUACUGAGCCCUAUCUGGAUGUUUUUCGCUCUGUGUCAGACCCACAGCAGCACGCUGCUUGCCUUGCCCUGAGCAGUAAAACCAGCAGCCCUCGGUCCAUCGUGUGGUCUAACUUUCUAGAAGCAACUUGAGCAUGUGCUCAGUUUCUAAAAUAUUCAUUGUUUUACUUCAGUGAAGUUUCGCCCUGGAAAAGCAGCGUAAAAAUAAGACCUCCUCGCUCAGUAAGUGCUCUCUUGUCUGCCUCAGAGUCUGUUGGUGUCUUUCAGUAACAGAAAGAAAACAGCAAUGCUUUUGCCCCCAUUCCCCUGCAGCAGCACAUAUGCAGCUGUGGCUGGGGAUGAGCUGGAUUCCAGCUGCCCUGGUGCUGCCGUUCAGAACAAAGGCACUGCCACGAGUGCAAACCUGGGUGCCCAUGUCAACACAGCCUGGUGAAAUGGAGCUUUCCAGCUCCGGAGAUACGUGUCAUCCUCUGCUCGGUGCCACUAAAAGCAAAGUCCCACACUGAAUUUUUAUCAGUAGAAAAAAAUGCAGAGGGAAAACUUACUGGAGUGGUUUCUGAUGAGACAUUUCAGAGGCAGAUGCUGUUCCCUCUGACUUCCAAUGGAUUUCAAGCAUUUUUUUUCAGUGUCUGUGAAAUCAUCAACUGCUUUCUAAGACCCAACGUUGCAAACAGCUGCGCUUGUGAUUAUAAUGAGCCCGCUUAUGGAGCUAGGUACGAGGGUGUACACAUACAGAAGUUUCCUUUAUGAAACAAAUGCUUCAAACCAGAUCGUAAAUUAUCAAAGAAAUCCUAUUUUAUUGCCUUUUAUGAUUUCAGCUCCCUGUUGCUUUUAGUUGUCCCCACUCUCCCUGAUACUCGUGAAGACCUUCAAACCGAGCGCUGCACGUGAAAUAGAACAAUAUCGUUUGCUUUGGUCUCUCUAAGAACACAAUUCCAGACGAGGUUCUUCAACAGCAAAGGCCUGAAGUUAGAAACCUGCGUGCCUAACAACGACACCGAUGGGGCUGAACGGUUCUGAGUGACAACCCGCAUGUUUAAGGUCCCAAACACGGUUUUGUGCAUCAGUGCUGUGUGAGACGCUCGUGGAAGCUGCCCGGCACAGAGCGACUACUGCAAAUUUGAAACAGCAAUUUCCCAUAUUCAGUUCAGUCAAAGGUGCCUUAUCUGGAAUCUCGGGAAACUUCUUUGUAAAUGUGCCUCGUUUUCCUGAGAAGGUUAUGGCUCCGUUUAACUCCUAGCAGUCCGAGAGGCCGGUCUGUGUAACUUAAUCGUCUUGUUUACGAUCUAAGCCUUGCUUAUCUAUCAUUAUUCUAUCCUCAGGAAGAUCAUAAAAGAAAAUUACUCGGUAUAUUCGAGAAAACUGUGUUCAUAAGGAGAUGUUCAAAUGGUUUUACCAUUCCCACCCUCGGAUCUCCUUGUAAAUAUUAACCCACGAGGCACGGAUGUGUUGUAACGAGCAGAAAAUAGAAGAGUAACGUUGUUCUAAUGAACGAAAGGAUACGAAGGCAUUGCAGCACAUUUCUGACACAUCAAGAGGAAAAAUAUAUAUAUAUAUGUCCUCAGCUGUGUGAGGAAAAGUUGUUUAUCACCUUCUGUGGGUUUGUUUGGGCCUCUUCUGCGCACACUUCUGGGAUCACUCCAGACAGCGAACUCAUUGGGAAUAAAUUGAAGGAAACGCUGCAAGUUUUAAGGAAAUAUCCUCCCGCGAUCAAAGCGAAACGUGUGGGGCAGAGGCAAAAAGCGGUGUCUGUGGCACAGAGCUCCGGCGGUGCUGCGGGGCCGGGACUGCUCCGUCCGUUCCCCCGGGGUGCGCGAAACCGGCUGUGCUGCGCCCCGGCGCUGAGUUGGGCGCUGAGUGCUUUGAGGGGACUUCCCGGCCUGAGGCCCUUCAGUUGUUUUAAUUGGGAUUUGGGGUUGGGGGGGCGGGUUGGAACAGAGGACAUGAGGUGGGGCUGGGCCAGUCCGGGGUGUCGCAGCGGUGACCUCCUGCAGCACUUCGAGGGUGUCGGGGGAAGGCUUUCGGGGCUGCUCCUUGCGCAUUGCCGCCGGGGGGUUCUUAUGCCCAGGAGAAAACUGGGACGUCAAAAAGGAUGGGGGAAAAAAAAGGACGCGCCCUCCCCCUCCCAACAAAACAAACAAAUGCAACAGAACCAGGCAGACAACAACAAAACAACACCCCGAAACCUUUCGCCUGAAAACCGACUCAUCGCUGCUGCGUAACAGUCUCCUAAACACGAGAAGCUGACGUGACUUUGUCCCUUUCGCUGUUCGCAGUGUCUGAGCGCAGCAACUGCCGAUGGACGCGUUCGGCUUUGAAGUUAUGGAAAUGGCUUCGCAGGCAUCAGCCGGUAUGAUAAUAGGUUUCAUUCUGGCUCGCUAGCUACGAGAUGGGAAAAUGCCAAAAAACGCAGCUCUCUUCCGGGGUAUCUGAAAUGUUCGGUCCCUCCUCCGAGAGGCAUUUCGGUGGGAGGCCAAGCUCGGAGAGAUGAAGGAGUGCAUAUGUUCAAAAUUACGUUUUCGACAGAAAUUCAGAUCUACCGCUUCGUGUUUAAACGUGAAGUGGGACAGAAGCGAGGGGCGAAGGGGGGCGGGGGGCUCAGCGUGCAGGAAACAUCACUGGGAAACCUGGAAUGUAGCAGCAAGGAUCAAAAGUUAAUGGCCUAUUUGAUGUGAAAAGUGAGCCGGGGAUGCCUGAGAGCGAAAAGAGCCGGCGGGACGCACCGCGCCGCCGGACGGCCCCCGCCCCGCGCAAACAGCGAAGCCAAAAAUAGCGCGCAGCAUAGAAGCAAAAAUUACGGACCACCGCUACAGACUGAUUCCCUCAAGUGGCCAGAACAGAGAACACAGGCCGAGCUUCCAGCUGCUGGGCUCCAAAUUGCGUGAAGUAGAUGGUGGUGACUGAAAAUGAGGAGAACUGCACGUUUUGGAUGCAGCCAGUGAGACACUUCUAUCAAAUCUCUGCUCGCUUACAAAAAGGAUACAAAGUCAAAGCAUACAGAAAUCAAGAGUGGAGGCAGUGAAAACAUUUGGAACGAAUGGAUGAAAACCUUCAGUCUCAGAUGGCUAUCUUUGAUCCAAGUGGCCCAGCUUCUUCAGCAUUUGGAACUUUCCAUUGCAUAAACCAGAAGUGGAAACAGAUUCUACUUUUCUUGAGACGAGCAUACAUGAAGUAUCUCCAUUGACUUACUGGGGAAAGUCCAGAUUUAAGUCAUUUUUGACAAGAGUAGAAAUUUGGCCCAACUUGGGCAGAAUCAAACCCAUGAGCACACAGAUUUCUAAUUUUUUUUCCCCCUAGUUUCACCCUGAGCUUUACUUUGAUUUCAAAGCUCUCACUGUGUCAUUGUAAACAUUCGGUCUUUAAAAUACUGCACUGCUCCAAAGUUAUCUGCAUGUGAGUUUAUUUUACAUUAAGUACUCAAAAUAUCUGAACAUAAAAUGCCAACAGAAACAACAAAAAUAUAAACAAAUCACUGCCUUCAGCAGAAACACUUUAAUUCAGAAUGUAAUAAAGGCAGUCGAGGUUUAAAACACUUAUGCCAGAGUGUAAACUGAAGGAGUUAGUAACUUUUUUCCCCCUGUAUGCAGUUCUGCUACUGCAGCCAAAAUAUUCUCACAGGUUGUUUAAAAAAGAAAAAAGGGAAAG
rnacentral:lncRNA from 1 species